rnacentral:lncRNA from 1 species
AUGAUAGCAGCUGCUUGGUGUUCGCGUACAGGACUGGAGGCAGAACGCGCAGCGUCAGCAGAGCACAAUCCCUGCGGAGCCGCUCCGGCAGUCGGCGAGGCGCCCGCAGCCCGCUGCCGUCGGGCGGACGGGAGAACCCCGGGCUCUGGGGGAGCUGAGCGGUGCUGCAGUGACCUCCAGCGUUCCCAGCGCGGGCUGCAAGCGCAGAGCGGCUCUCAGCUCCUCAGUGCCAGGCCUUGCCCCGCAGCAGCGCCCAAAGGGCUUAGGGACACGGUCAGAGCGCUGCAGGAAUAAGAGUAUUUUAAAAUGAAUUUAACUCCCAAAGCAAUCUCAGAAGUCUUAUUUCUUAUUCACUUAGAAGUAGCAAGAUUUUGACACUGGAACAGGUAACAUAAAGUCUGGUUUAGGACUGUUACAUAAAAUAAUGGUGCUUGGAUAGAGUUGCCUAUAUUUUUUCGUGGUUUUAAGUUCUUCAAGUAAAGAGGACGGAUACUGAAAAAUCCUCAAUAGCACAUGGACGGAUUAACCAACCAGUAUCAGAAAUUAUUUCUUUAGAAAUACAGGGACUGAGCCCCAAGCACCUCAAUCCUUCAGGUUUCUUGUCUUGUUGACCUUAAGUGCAAUGUCAGUUUUGUAGUGCUUGUUCCAUCCUUACCAUCCUCAUCAGCUUUACAAAUGAAAUAGUUUGAACAUUUCUUCCUGUUGGAAAUCUGUGAUGUUUCCAACAGAAAAAUAGGUUAGAUUCUGCCUAAGUUAACAAAUAUUUACAGCAGUGCUGGCAGAACAGCAACUUUGUGCUUAUGUGUAACUUUGAAUAUUCAAGAGUAAAUUUUACAUCUUCCCUGGAGAAUGUGAACGAAAUAACGACUCCAACAUAAAUUGUGUUUUACAACAGAUAACGCGUGCACCACAACACUGCAGAAUUUCGUGUUUUUUCCCUGAAGAAACUAGUAACAGUAGGAAAACUAACGCUGCAUACUGAAGAAUAUUUCUUCUGUAUUCUUCCUGUUCUGUCUGUUAGCUUUGUGGAUCGUUUAACAAAGCUGAAACCACACAGACCGUGAAAACAAGAAUUUACUAUGGAAAAUUCCAUAUGGCUAAAAUUUCACUUUCUGUGGAUGCCUAUGAAUGGACCAGGGGCAGGUUUCAGGUAGAGAAUCUAAAAUGGCUUCAUUCCUUUAGUUAGGGCAUGUUGAACUUUUCCUUGUUUGUUUGUCAACAAUGACAACACUUGUUGUGAUACAAUGGCUGCUGGGCAGCUUCCCUGGAAUUAAUUGUUAUCCCAUAGUAUUUUUUAUAGACAUUAUCUAGACAGCAAAUCUACUCUGACAGAUGGCAGACUGUAGAAUCUGCUUUUGCCUCUAAUCCUCUCAUAUGUUCAGUAAUAGAUAGUUUUUGGAAAAAUGCUAUUAAUUCCACUUUUAAAUUUUAAUGAAAUUACAGGCUCAGUGUCACAAGAUUAUCAGAUUAUAAUCACUGAAUGUUGUUGUAGGUGUCAAUGCAGCCAAAUGUUGCAUUUUUAAUAAAUAAUCUUAGCAAAUUUGGACAUGUGAGUGCCACUGGAUUGGAACCUUUUUCCUUAAUACAUCUUUACCAGUUUUUGGGCAUGUGAGUGCCACUGGAUUGGAACCUUUUUCCUUAAUACAUCUUUACCAGUUCUACUGGGUUUAUAACCAGAAGCACGUUCCUAUUUGCAACUGGUUUAUGCACACAUUUCCUACAUUUAUAUGAAAACAGGAGGUAAAUGGAUAUCAAAUGUGAUAUUCAAAUCUGACUAUGCUGAAUAUCAUAAGAAAAUGCUACUCUGGGCCAAAACACCCUUAUGGUAGGUGUAUUAAUGAGACUUGGCUUUCAUAAUGCAUCUGCAACACAUAAAGAGUAAUGUUCUUCCCACCUGUGUGAAAGUAAAAUAGGCUUCUGGCUCCCAUUCUGUACUGCUUGACUUUUUUCCCCAUUCUGAGCACAGAUAUCAGUAUGGAGACCCUGAUUUACUCACCUUUUGUGUGCUUCACACCUUAAAAUACAUGACUUCUUGUUUGAUUUCUCUUUCAUUUCAUCAUUAUUUUCCAGUUUGUUGGAGGUUUUUUUUUUCUCCCCAUAAAACCAGUAUCUGCAGUCUGUUUUGAAAAUAGUUGUGAUUAAACCCCGUUAUUUUGCUGAGUUUUACAGGCUGUUUUUCACACUGUCACUACAGAGAGGAAUUAUGAAAUUGGGCAGCACCAGCAGGUGCUCCUUGUGUUAGUACCUCCAGAUUAGCAGAAGCUUUAGAAAUGAAAUCAGAUAGUGGGCACUUAGGAAAAAAACCCUUCAUCAGAAAAUCUCCCUCUUGGUUAGUCGUUGGCUUUUUCACAUUUGUGCCUGAACUUCAAAUCUGUUUGUAGAGUUGGCUGUUUGCAGCUAUCCUGGGUAAAUAACCACUUUAAUUCCCGUGAUGCCUCAGAGAGAGAUCACAGCAAUAAAUCUUCCCAAUCCUUCAAAAUCAAAUGCUUUGUACAUUUUGAAUUGCAAGACCUUGAAUGAAGGGAAGCUAAAACUCAGUAACAAAUAGAAUAAAACCAACUUUAAUUAUGCUUUAGAGGCAAUUUACCAUAGGUCUUUCAGCUCAAUGUCCCAUUUUUUCAAAUCAAGCUACUACAGAUAGGUAAUUUUACACAAUUAAAGAUGUACUAAUUACACCCCUCCUGUUAGCAUUGUACUUGUGCAGAAAUCUGUGGUGUGCAGUAUUGGCACUCAUGGCUGGAAGUUUGAUUUUUAUAGGUCAAUAUUGCUGCUGGUUUCUGUCACUGAUGGGCUGCAUGUGAAGAAACACAGUGAUCGUGUGCUUUUAUUGAAUUGUCUGAGAACCUUGGCACCUUCAUGAAUAAUCCUUUUUAGUCUUUGGUUAUUCUCACCUGAGUAGCCUACAUUUCCUACACCAGAAAAAUAUUCCUGGUGAAAAUUCCAAAAGACAGUGUGAAGAAACAAAACUUGGGCAAUGGAGGUCCUGAGAUUUGUGUAAUCUCAAGAAUUAAGUUUAGGAAUUUCAGACAUUGCUAUUUCAUUUCUGACACGGUGAUAUGAUUGAUUUUGCAAUUUAAACUCCCAAAGUACUAAUUUCAUACUCCAUUGUUUCUCAGUAGGAAUGGGAAGCAGUGCCUUGUAAGCAGGCUGUUUUCAAGAGUCAUCUCUUUAGAUAAUAUUUUUUAUUGUUUGUAUAAAAUUAUGUCUUAGGGAUUCAAUAUCAUUCUGACAAGGUUGAAUAAAUAAUAAUGCACAAAUAUGAAAUACACUAACUCAAUGCUUCCAUUAGCAGUAAGUGUAUGUGUAAACAACUGAAAAUAGAAACUAGUUGCUAAUUACUGAAUUUACUUACAGAUAAUAACUGAAGGCAAAUGUAGAGUCAGAAUAUUGGAAUGUGGUCUCUAAAAAAAUAGAUUUAUUUCUGAAUUGUUUCGAGUGACAGCUGACAUCUAAAGUUACAUAUUGGAGGAGUGUGAAAUUUUGUUAAAGAAUCUGAUUAUAAAAUUUUCUUUGGCUUAGCUGAAUCCAAAUAAUUUUAGAAAAUAUGAUGAUGUCUAUACUGGUGGGCAAAGGGUUGUGUCUAAGGUUGUGUGUCAGGUCAGACAGUCUAUCCAUGCCCUGCUGCCAUUCUGGGGGUACAUUUAGCCACUCACCAGUUUGGAAUUUUCCAUUUGCCUUCUGUGGGAAUGAAAUCCAGGUACACGAGAUGCAGAAGUGAAUAGGCCAGGUUCCUUACCUGCAUGAUCGCUGCCCAAGACUGGGAUUGUCUUCACCCAACACAGAUAUGAAUACUGUAUUUGAUAUAAAAUUUACUUUGUUUUCAUGGCUACCUUAUUUGAUUGAUUAAGUGUUCAAUGUGUUUGCCAGAAGUGCAGUGUCUCAAUAGGUGUAGCUCUCAUUCACAGCUAUGAAAUGCUACCCAGAGUCUUACGGCAGAAGAUAAAAAAAGCAGAACCUCCUCUGGUGAAUCAAAUUGGAGGGGGAAUCAUGGGGGACUGGAACAACUGAAAAAAACAGUGUAAGCCAGAAGGGAGGAUACACGAACACUGACAUAAAAUGAUUUAAAAUCAACCCUAACGAACAGGCUUAG